GCAUAUCAAUAAGCGGAGGAAAAGAAACCAACAGGGAUUGCCCUAGUAACGGCGAGUGAAGCGGCAACAGCUCAAAUUUGAAAUCUGGCCCCAGGCCCGAGUUGUAAUUUGCAGAGGAUGCUUCGGGCGCGGUGCCUUCCAAGUCCCCUGGAACGGGGCGCCAUGGAGGGUGAGAGCCCCGUAUGGUCGGACACCAAGCCUAUGUGAAGCUCCUUCGACGAGUCGAGUAGUUUGGGAAUGCUGCUCUAAAUGGGAGGUAGACCCCUUCUAAAGCUAAAUACCGGCUAGAGACCGAUAGCGCACAAGUAGAGUGAUCGAAAGAUGAAAAGAACUUUGAAAAGAGGGUUAAACAGCACGUGAAAUUGUUAAAAGGGAAGCGCUUGUGACCAGACUUGCGCCGGGGCGAUCAUCUGGCGUUCUCGCCGGUGCACUCGCCCCGGCCCAGGCCAGCGUCGGUUCGGGAGGGGGGACAAGGACGUUGGGGACGUGGCUCCCCCGGGAGUGUUACAGCCCAGCGUGUCAUGCCCCCGCCCGGACCGAGGUUCGCGCUCUGCAAGGACGCUGGCGUAAUGGUCAUCAGCGGCCCGUCUUGAAACACGGACCAAGGAGUCGAGGUUCUGCGCGAGUGUUUGGGUGCCAAACCCGCACGCGUAAUGAAAGUGAACGUAGGUGGGAGCCUCGGCGCACCACCGACCGAUCCUGAUGUUUUCGGAUGGAUUUGAGUACGAGCGUUGGGCCUCGGACCCGAAAGAUGGUGAACUAUGCUUGGAUAGGGUGAAGCCAGAGGAAACUCUGGUGGAGGCUCGCAGCGGUUCUGACGUGCAAAUCGAUCGUCAAAUCUGAGCAUGGGGGCGAAAGACUAAUCGAACCAUCUAGUAGCUGGUUACCGCCGA
rnacentral:rRNA from 1 species